rnacentral:tRNA from 1 species
GGAGGAGUGGCCGAGCGGCUGAAGGCAACGGUCUUGAAAACCGUCGUAGGGCAACCUACCGUGAGUUCGAAUCUCACCUCCUCCGCCA